rnacentral:rRNA from 1 species
GAUGAACGCUGGCGGCGUGCUUAACACAUGCAAGUCGAACGGUGAAGCAGGAGCUUGCUCUUGUGGUUCAGUGGCGAACGGGUGAGUAACACGUGAGCAACCUGCCCCUGACUCUGGGAUAAGCGCUGGAAACGGCGUCUAAUACUGGAUAUGUGAUGUGACCGCAUGGUCUGCAUCUGGAAAGAAUUUCGGUUGGGGAUGGGCUCGCGGCCUAUCAGCUUGUUGGUGAGGUAAUGGCUCACCAAGGCGUCGACGGGUAGCCGGCCUGAGAGGGUGACCGGCCACACUGGGACUGAGACACGGCCCAGACUCCUACGGGAGGCAGCAGUGGGGAAUAUUGCACAAUGGGCGGAAGCCUGAUGCAGCAACGCCGCGUGAGGGAUGACGGCCUUCGGGUUGUAAACUUCUUUUAGCAGGGAAGAAGCGAAAGUGACGGUACCUGCAGAAAAAGCACCGGCUAACUACGUGCCAGCCGCUGCCGUAA